UCGGGUUGAAACCUGUCCACCACAGCAGCUUUACCUGAACAAGCCCCGUGUGCCCUAAUCGUUACGACACCUGCACCAAAACGCCUCUCGUGGGAGGAAAUGCAACGCUGGCGAUCCCAAGGGUUGUGCUUCAAUUACGAUAAGAAGUUUACAAUCGGCCAUUGUUGCCGCAAACCUCAACUACUGUUGCUCGAUGGUGGGGGAACGAAAUCGAAGAUGAAAUAGAGCCAGCGACCAAAGAACCUGAGAUCUCCCUCCACGCACUCAUUGGGUGGUCAUAAGCCUGGACGGUACGCGUCCCAACAACUAUACAAAGGCGAAAGGUGGUGGCCCUCAUUGAUAACAGGUCCACGCACAACUUUAUCAGUGAUAAGGUCGCGCACCAAUCACAGCUUCAGGUGGUGCGGACCGCUCCCUUCUAGGUUAAAGUAGCCAACGAAUAGCCACUAAAAUGGCAAGAAAGGUUCGAAAAUGUCAAGGUUGACAUCCAAGUUAAUAUACAGACCACCUAGGCAAGGAUUGUGCCAGUGGCUGAAAGGGAUAUCCAGCAGCUGUUAGAUGAGUUUGUCGAUAUUUUUCAAGAACCCAACACACUUCCACUGACCCAGGACAUCGAUCAUCAUAUUACACUAAAAGAAGGGACAUAACAUGUUAAUGUUAGACCCUAUCGAUAUGCUUAGUUUCAGAAGGCAAAAAUUGAGCAACAAGUACAAAGUAUGCUGGAUAUGGGUAUCAUUAAGCCGAGCAUCAGUCCCUUUUCAUCACCAGUCCUGCUAGUGAAGAAGAAGGAUGGUACUUGGAGAUUCAAUACGGAUUAUCGCAUGCUGAAUUUAUUCACCAUUAAAGAUCGUUUCCUCAUGCCAACCGUCGAGGACAUGAUAGAAGAGUUGCGUGGCACUACCUUCUUCACCAAAUUGGACUUUACAUCAGGCUACCACCAAGUUCGAGUAUACCCACCAGACACAACAAAUACAGCCUUCAGAACUCAUAACGGGCACUACGAAUACCCCGUAACGCCAUUCAGUCUUUGCAACGCCCCAUCUACAUUUUAAGCCAUUAUGAACACCAUAUUUCGGCCACAUUUGAAAAAGUUUAUCUUGGUUUUCUUCGAUGACAUAGUGGUAUGUAGUCCUAACUGGACUUCUCACUUAGGGACACCUAAGGUAGACUUUCUAAAUCUUAAGGCAAUAUAAAUUCUUCGUCAAGAUAAAAAAGUGUGUUUGGACAACAAAAGUUGGAAUACAUGGGGCACAUCAUCACUCCACAAGGGGUUAAGGUGGAUCAAGAAAAGAUGCAAGCUAUGUUAGAUUGGCAUAAACCAACAACUAUUACAGAGCUACGGGAAUUUAUAAACCUUACAAGAUAUUAUCGGAAGUUUAUACUCAAUUAUGGAAUCUUGGCCAAGCCCCUCACGCAGCUACUAAAAAAUGGACAAUUCAAAUAGAUUGAGGAGGCUGAAAUGACAUUCAAACAACUUAAACAGACCAUGACAUCCACCCUUACUUUGACUCUCCCAAAUCAGUGAGUCAUUCACCAUAAAAAUAGAUGUUUCAAGAAAAGGAAUUGGCAUCGUCCUCAACCAAAAUGAGAAGCCAAUUGCCUAUAUGAGUCGGGCACUAGGGACGACCAAACAAGUGUGGUCCACAUAUGCUAAGGAAAUGUUAGCCGUUGUCAUUUUCGUUCAGACUUGGAGAUCAUAUCUGUUGGGGCAUAAAUUUGUGACAAGAAUUGACCACCAGAGCUUAAAACAUCUCUUGAACCAGCGUCACCACACCUAAACAGUAAAAAUGGAUAUCUAAACUUUUUGGGUAUGAUUAUGAAAUUGUUUAUAAGCCUGAUAAGGAAAAUAAAGCAGCAAAUGCCCUCUCAUGAUAACCUGACGAAUCCUCGUUGGAUGCUUUAUUUGCUUGUGAAAAUCAUAUUUGGAAUGACAUAAAAAAGGAAUUAGUAAGUCACCCCUAUAUGCAGAAAAUAAUAGGCAACUUAGCCACAGCCAACCCCGACAGUCCAUAUUAAUGGAGAAACGGUCUCCUGCACUACAAAAACCAUGUAAUAAUCUAUUUAGGGUCCAAAAUCAUUCUGCAGUUGCUAUAAGCUUACCAUGACUCCCCGUUGGGAUGAUAUUCCGGGGUCCUAAGGAUUUACAAACGGCUGGCAUAAAAACUUUAUUGGCCAACUAUAAGACAAGGCAUACAACAAUAUGUGGCAACACGUGAAACAUGCUAAAGGGUUAAAUCUGAGACUCUUGCACCUGCCGGAUUACUACAACCUCUUCUCAUUCCGUGUCAAGUUUGGGAUGACAUCUCUAUGAACUUCAUAUAAGGGCUAUCAAACUCUAAUAAAAAGGAUACCAUCUUUGUGAUAGUUGAUAGGUUGAGCAAAUUAGCACAUUUCCUAGCACUAUCCCACCCCUACACUGCCAUAUCAGUAGCUGAAAAGUUUGUUUAAGGAGUAGUUAAACUCCACGCCAUGCCACGAACCAUUGUUAGCGACAGAGAUCAAAUUUUUAUCAGUCACUUUUGAAAUGAAUUUUUCAAAAUAUCAGGAACCCAAUCGAAAAUGAGUUCUGUAUAUCACCCCCAAACGAAUGGAUAAUCUAAAGUUGUCAAUAGAUGUUUGGAACAAUACCAAAAAUGUCUAACCCACCAGCAGCCCCAGAAAUGGCAUUCUCUACUCCCAUGGGCAGAAUUUUGGUAUAACACCACUCACCACUCUUCUAUUGGAAUGAUGUCUUUUCAAGUCCUCUAUGAUCGGCCACCCCCAAGCAUUUCGUUCUAUCAUAAGGGUAGCACAAUUAUUAAUGAUGUUGACCAGCAAUUAACAUAAAGAAAUGACCUCCUCCAACAACUAAAAGCUAAUCUCCAUGCUGCGAACAACCGCAUGCAACAAAUCGCCGACACAAAAAAGCACAAUAUUAAAUUUCAACAAGGGGACUGGGUCUUCUUAUGACUCCAACCUUACCGCCAACAUAUUGUUUUCAAAAGAGUACUUCAAAAAUUAGCAUGUCGCUUUUACAGGUCCUACCAAAUUGAACAACGCAUCAGUGUAGUAGCAUAUAAACUCAAAUUUCCAUAAGGAUCCCGCAUUCACCCUGUUUUCCACAUUUCAUUGCUCAAACAGAAGGUUGGGGACUUAACAACCUUCCACACCAACGAGCUGCCAACGACUACUGAAGAUGGCAAUGUUAUCUUGCAUCUAGAAACCAUAUUGGACACACGCUGGGUUAAAACAAGGGUCUAAGCUCAUUGAGAAAAGUUUGAUGAAAUGGAAACACUUACCUACUGAAGACGCCAUGUGGGAAAACACCUAAGAUCUGCUGGAACAAUUUGUCUCACUAAACCUUGAGGACAAAGUUCCUGUAAAAAGGGAGAGCGAUCAUAAGCCCCGUCGAUCACAAAGGCAACCACGUCGGAACCCAAAA